rnacentral:misc_RNA from 1 species
CUUUAUUGCAAUUUUAAUCUCAGCCUUCAAUUUUUGGGUUUAAGUCUUUAGCCAUUAGAUAUAUAGUUUUUUUUUCUAAGAAAAUAAAAGACAAACAUUAUACUAAAUGAAAUCAUAGCCAUUGAUUUCUUAGGGUUAGAACUUUAGAAUAGGAGUUGAUUAAAGUAAUUUUGUACAUCCAAACACUAGCCUUUCAUUUAAACCCUUGGAUUUAGGGCUUAUAAGACAACAAAAAACAAAAUUGGUACCUUUUAAUCAUAGCCCUUCUUUUUUAUUCAAAUUAAUUGCAACCAUUAGAUUUGGGGUUUCUCAUAAGAGACAAAAAUGGUAUUUGUUUGAAUCUAGGCCAUUAAUUAUCUUAAAAGUUUUACCUAGCUAUUAGAUUUGAUUUUCUCCAAAAUUAAAACAAAACAAAAAAAUAUAUAUGUUUCAAUAAAUCUCGACUUUCCAUUUGCAUCAAAUUUAAUUUGAGCCCUUAGAUUUAGGGUUUAUAAAAGUAAUGAGGACAAAUUGGUGCAAAUUGAUCCUAGCAAUUAAUUUUCGAAGGCUUAAUUUUCACCAAUAGAUUAGAAAUUUGUUAAAGUAAUAAAAGCAAAAUUUGGUACAAUUUAAUCCUAGCCAUUAAUUUUUGUAAGGUCUUUUUUUAGCCAUUGGAUAAAAAAGAGAUAUAACAAAUUUUUCCUACUUGAUCUACACCUUUCAAUUUUACCCUCAAAUCUUAGCCAUUAAAAUUAGGGCUUUGAGUUGUUAUAAAUACCCUAUUGUUUUUACUAUGAAAGGAGGCAAUUUUGGGGAACGUCUUUGGAAAAAGCGGAAACUUGAGGAAAAAAUAGAAAAAGAAAAAAAAAAUGAAUUUUUGCAAAACAACAUUUUCUAGGUCUCUGUAGCCAGCUUCUCCAAAGAGAACCAGCUCCUCAUUUCUUACUGAGAAUCACGUGAAGACAGCCUCCGCACAAACCCACCUCUCCUUGCCCAUAAACACGGAGUCAAAAUUCACUCUAGGGAUGUUACUCUCCCUAUAGUGAGAUAUUUAUGUGUUCCUACACUGUUAUUUUUUAAAUUCCAAGCACACAUAAGGAACCGAUAUUAUAAUUUAAACUCCAAUUAAGGUAUUAAUAUUGUUUUAUUAUGAACAAAUUUUUAAAUCUACCUACUCUAUUUAGGGAUGAUUGUAAGGUGUCUAACACCUCCCCACACCUAUAAGGACCCUGAAACCUAGAUUUUUGAAAUAGAAGUAGUAAACUUUUUUUUUAAAUAAAAGGCGUUCUUUGAUUUCUCUCAAAAUUAGAGUGGCGACUCCUCAGUGAGAAUUGCCUGGCAGCCAUGAAAACAUUUGCGACAUUAUUUUCUUAUUAAAUUUCUUAAAUAAUAGAAA